CAGGCCUAACACAUGCAAGUCGAGCGGGCCCUUCGGGGUCAGCGGCGGACGGGUGAGUAACGCGUGGGAACGUGCCUUCUGGUUCGGAAUAACCCUGGGAAACUAGGGCUAAUACCGGAUACGCCCUUUUGGGGAAAGGUUUACUGCCGAAGGAUCGGCCCGCGUCUGAUUAGCUAGUUGGUGGGGUAACGGCCUACCAAGGCGACGAUCAGUAGCUGGUCUGAGAGGAUGAUCAGCCACACUGGGACUGAGACACGGCCCAGACUCCUACGGGAGGCAGCAGUGGGGAAUAUUGGACAAUGGGCGAAAGCCUGAUCCAGCCAUGCCGCGUGAGUGAUGAAGGCCUUAGGGUUGUAAAGCUCUUUCGGCGGGGACGAUAAUGACGGUACCCGCAGAAGAAGCCCCGGCUAACUUCGUGCCAGCAGCCGCGGUA
rnacentral:rRNA from 1 species